GGCAACAUUCAUUGGUAUGGUUGGCCUUAUAGUAGCUUUAGUUGUUCUGCUUGUCCUUAUGAUCAUGUAUUUUAAGAUUGCAGUUCGGCAGACACUUAUUUCUGUUUGAAUGAAAGUUUUCCUCCUAAAGUUGAGUAUGCAUUGUGCAGAUUCUCCAUUGGGCACACCAAGGAUCCUCAUUUUAAAGUUGGCGAUGCUAUAGAUGGGGCUAUUAAAAUAUUCACUAUAUCAGUUACCAUUGUGAUUGUGGCCGUACCCAAAGGGCUUUCCUUAGCUGUCACUCUUACGUAAGUUCAUUCUAUUUUGACAUUAAUACUUUUAAGUUUGAGUAGUUCUUUGCAUAGCUGCUUCAUUUGAAGGGUCAGUUGUAUCUAUUUAUCACUUUCACUCCCUAGUUGUGUUUUCUGUAUUGUUUAUUUUAAUUUAUAAUGUAUAACAUGUUUCAAUAUGAUUUUUUUGCGUACUUCAAUUCUGUUUUUAUUCAUUAAGUACAUCACUGAGACUAUUCAUUCACCGUACUAGUUUGCUACAUUUAUGUUGUCUAUUUUUCUUGUUAAUCAGUAAUCACUGGGACUUGCUUUCUACACUA